UCACUUAUCACUAUUCAACUUCUAAGUUAUAGGACAUGAACUCUGAAGUUAAGCGUGUUUCAACGGAAGUAGUACUAGAAUGAGCAGCCCUCUGGGAAGUUUACGCGUUGAAGGAU
rnacentral:rRNA from 1 species